CAGUCGCCGCGGGAAUACAGAGGGUGCGAGCGUUAAUCGGAUUUACUGGGCGUAAAGCGUGCGUAGGCGGCUUCUUAAGUCGGAUGUGAAAUCCCUGAGCUUAACUUAGGAAUUGCAUUCGAUACUGGGAAGCUAGAGUAUGGGAGAGGAUGGUAGAAUUCCAGGUGUAGCGGUGAAAUGCGUAGAGAUCUGGAGGAAUACCGAUGGCGAAGGCAGCCAUCUGGCCUAAUACUGACGCUGAGGUACAAAAGCAUGGGGAGCAAACAGGAUUAGAUACCCGCGUAGUCCCUGUCUCUUAUAC
rnacentral:rRNA from 1 species